GGCCCACUGCUGACUUACCUACAAGCCCAUGGAGGUGACCUGUCGGGUUAGGUUGUUACGGCCAGGUGUUCCCAUGCUGGUUUCAGCCUGUCCCCAGUUGUAACCGUGCCAGCUCAGAAGAGGUCGUGCCUUGGAUGCACCACUCCAGAGCAAAAAUGGCACCCGCACCAGCGGCUCAGGAGGAGACGCCACCAGCACCAGAUGACAAAUACAAACACACCUGGGCGCCAUUCGCUGACCUGGCACUUCUGUCCCAGCGGCACCCAUGGAACGAAUAGGGGUCCUCACGUCUGUCCUGGAACCAUUUUACUCUGCACUAGCUCUGCUGUUCUAUUUCUUUAGUCCUAUUGUCCAUUCAAAAGCCCCUCGAGUGGAUGAAAUCAUUUCCUCUGCUGUUAUUCACCAUAAACACUCCAGCUCAUUGUUCAUACGUAGGAAAACAGCUGA